rnacentral:lncRNA from 1 species
UGGCAGCAGAGCCUGCAGAGGACAGCCAGAGAGAGCAGGUGCCUUUGAGACGCUGCAGUCGCUGCCAAGCAAACUCUAUCUUUUCUGCUGCCGUCCCUGGGGAGGGAAGCCAGUGGUUAGCAGACAGGACUUCUGUCUGUCCCUUUACAUGGGCACACAGUAACCAAGCAAUUACAAAGGAUUGUUAAACUGUGCAGCAGAUGGAAGAAGAGGAAGCUAAGGCAGCGUCUCUCCUUACUAAGAAUAAAACUGGAAGCGUGAGAGAGGCUCAGCUAACCAAGUUUCUGCAAGAGGAGGCGUUCAGGGCCCAAGCAGCUCUCUGGAACUUGAUAGAACCAACACUGGUUUGGAGGAUGAUGCCUGAGAUUCCACCAGCCCUUGGGAGUCGGGCCAGGACUGCUACGAUCUUGUCUCAAAAGAACAACACGGAGACAGUGAGAUGGCUCAGCAGGUACAAGCGGCUGCUCUUGCAUGAGGACCCGAGUUUGAUCUGCAGAUCCCACAGUGAAAGAAGAGCCAAUUCAAGAUUGUCCUCUGACCCCAACUAAAUGUGACUGCCAUACAGGGAGAAGACAGUUCACAGAUCAUAAUAAAACCUAAAAGGAAACCUAUCUACAUUAAGAUAAAGACUAUAAUAAAGAUGAUAUGUCAAGUUGACAGGGUGAAA